rnacentral:rRNA from 1 species
GAUGAACGCUGGCGGCGUGCCUAAUACAUGCAAGUCGAGCGAACGGACGAGAAGCUUGCUUCUCUCAUGUUAGCGGCGGACGGGUGAGUAACACGUGGAUAACCUACCUAUAAGACUGGGAUAACUUCGGGAAACCGGAGCUAAUACCGGAUAAUAUUUUGAACCGCAUGGUUCAAAAGUGAAAGACGGUCGUGCUGUCACUUAUAGAUGGAUCCGCGCUGCAUUAGCUAGUUGGUAAGGUAACGGCUUACCAAGGCAACGAUGCGUAGCCGACCUGAGAGGGUGGUCGGCCACACUGGAACUGGGACACGGACCAGACUCCUAAGGGAGGCAGCAGUAGGGAAUCGUCCGCAAUGGGCGAGAGCCUGACGGAGCGACGCCGCGUGUGUGAUGAAGGUGUUCCGAUCGUAAAGCUCUGUUAUUAGGGAAGAACAUAUGUGUAAGUAACUGUGCACAUCUUGACGGUACCUAAUCAGAAAGCCACGGCUAACUACGUG